GGGGUCGUAGCUCAGUUGGUUAGAGCGCCAGCCUGUCACGUUGGAGGCCGCGGGUUCGAGUCCCGUCGACCUCG
rnacentral:tRNA from 1 species